rnacentral:rRNA from 1 species
GACGAACGCUGGCGGCGUGCCUAAUACAUGCAAGUCGAGCGGAUGGAAGGAAGCUUGCUUCCUAAAGUCAGCGGCGGACGGGUGAGUAACACGUGGGCAACCUGCCCCUAAGAUCGGGAUAACUUCGGGAAACCGGAGCUAAUACCGGAUAUGAUUAUGUCUCACAUGAGACAUAAUGGAAAGACGGUUUCGGCUGUCACUUAGGGAUGGGCCCGCGGCGCAUUAGCUAGUUGGUGAGGUAACGGCUCACCAAGGCGACGAUGCGUAGCCGACCUGAGAGGGUGAUCGGCCACACUGGGACUGAGACACGGCCCAGACUCCUACGGGAGGCAGCAGUAGGGAAUCUUCCGCAAUGGACGAAAGUCUGACGGAGCAACGCCGCGUGAGUGAAGAAGGUUUUCGGAUCGUAAAACUCUGUUGUUAGGGAAGAACAAGUACCAUAGUAACUGAUGGUACCUUGACGGUACCUAACCAGAAAGCCACGGCUAACUACGUGCCAGCCGCCGCCGUAA